rnacentral:rRNA from 1 species
UACAGAGACUGCAAGCGUUAUUCGGAUUCACUGGGCGUAAAGGGUGCGCAGGCGCCGAGUGUGUGAGGCGUGAAAGCCCGAUGCUUAACAUCGGAAUUGCACCUCAAACUACACGGCUAGAGCAUUGGAGAGGUAGCAGAAUUCAUGGUGUAGCAGUGAAAUGCGUAGAUAUCAUGAGGAAUACCAGAGGCGAAGCGGCUAC